rnacentral:rRNA from 1 species
AGAGUUUGAUCAUGGCUCAGAACGAACGCUGGCGGCAUGCCUAACACAUGCAAGUCGAACGAGACCUUCGGGUCUAGUGGGCGCACGGGUGCGUAACGCGUGGGAAUCUGCCCUUGGGUUCGGAAUAACAGUUAGAAAUGACUGCUAAUACCGGAUAAUGUCUUCGGACCAAAGAUUAUCGCCCAGGGAUGAGCCCGCGUAGGAUUAGCUAGUUGGUGAGGUAAAGGCUCACCAAGGCGACGAUCCUUAGCUGGUCUGAGAGGAUGAUCAGCCACACUGGGACUGAGACACGGCCCAGACUCCUACGGGAGGCAGCAGUGGGGAAUAUUGGACAAUGGGCGAAAGCCUGAUCCAGCAAUGCCGCGUGAGUGAUGAAGGCCUUAGGGUUGUAAAGCUCUUUACCCGGGAUGAUAAUGACAGUACCGGGAGAAUAAGCCCCGGCUAACUCCGUG